GAUUUUCUCCUUCUGAUGGAUGUGAACGAGUGAUGAGUUAUAAAUGUUCAGAUGAGGGUACAUUUACUCCGAACAUUCGUAACUCAUCUAUACUCGUUCACAUCCAUCAGAAGGAGAAAAUC